AGGAUCGCGAUACAUUACUUAGUCGGGUUCCUGAUGGUCGCGAUACAUUACUUAAGGUUGACACAUAACUUAGCCAGUCCGGCCCGUGAUGUAUUCCGACUCCAAGUGAUGUAUCACAAUUCUAAGUGGUGUAUCGCGAUCCUAAAUGAAAUCGAAUUUUUUGUAAUUACUUUGUAGGGAUGAGAUUUUGAGUAAAUAUGAUAAGUUAGGG
rnacentral:lncRNA from 1 species